GGGGUUGUAGCUCAGCGGUAGAGUUCUCACCUAGCAUGUGUGAGGCCCUGGGUUCAAUCCUCAGCACCACA
rnacentral:tRNA from 1 species